CCUUCACAUACCUGUUCAGUGUGGCGUUUUUUUCUAGCUGUGAAAGAGAACAGUGUAUUUCAUGAAACAGUUCAAUCAUCUCUCAGACAUGUUUAUUUUUUCUUUGUGUGUGUUUGUUUGUGUGUGUGUGUGUGUGUGUGUGUGUGUGUGUUAGUUAGUCAGCCUGCUCUGAUUGGCUAAUGUGAAUCAGCUGUCUAGCAGCAAUCUGAAGUUGCCGUGGUGAUUGGCCACUGCUGCAGUGGGGCAGUUUAUAAUAGGAGUUAACCAGAGACGUACAUGUCAUAAAAGUACUUCUACGACAGAAACCGUGACUCCUAUCGCUUAGAUUGUUCAUGAGACCAGUUAGGAGUCUCUGAUGAACAAAUGGUGCGACAUUUGGGUCUGUAGUUUCAAAAAUGUGACCUCGGCGGCAGUUUCGAAAAGUAGUAACUUUUUUCUCUGAUCCAAAAAAUUCUGUGAAAUUUAAUAUGGGGCCCUAUGGGAGCGAAGCCUGCAGUUGCUCUCACGUUCAGGCAUGUGUCGCCAAAUGUGUAAGUCCGACUGAUUCCAUAGCUACAUGUUUGCGACCGGCACAAAAAUACCUACGUUUUGAUGUAUUAAUUAUCUAUGAGGAGUGGACGUUGUGGGCUACAGAGCAAUUUGUUCGGAAAAUUUUCAAAAGAUUUCAAAGCUUUCCCGCACUCUAGCGAUGAUGUCACACACUCUAGCCCUUAACGACCCACGCAAUACACACCCAUUAUAAAAUCUGAAACGGUCUGAAAAUUUC